GACGAACGCUGGCGGCGUGCUUAACACAUGCAAGUCGAACGGAAAGGCCCUGCUUUUGUGGGGUGCUCGAGUGGCGAACGGGUGAGUAACACGUGAGUAACCUGCCCUUGACUUUGGGAUAACUUCAGGAAACUGGGGCUAAUACCGGAUAGGAGCUCCUGCUGCAUGGUGGGGGUUGGAAAGUUUCGGCGGUUGGGGAUGGACUCGCGGCUUAUCAGCUUGUUGGGGGGGUAGUGGCUUACCAAGGCUUUGACGGGUAGCCGGCCUGAGAGGGUGACCGGCCACAUUGUGACUGAGAUACGGCCCAGACUCCUACGGGAGGCAGCAGUGGGGAAUAUUGCACAAUGGGCGGAAGCCUGAUGCAGCAACGCCGCGUGCGGGAUGACGGCCUUCGGGUUGUAAACCGCUUUCGCCUGUGACGAAGCGUGAGUGACGGUAAUGGGUAAAGAAGCACCGGCUAACUACGUG
rnacentral:rRNA from 1 species